UUUCCGUAGGUGAACCUGCGGAAGGAUCAUUAUUGUAUAACCGAGGUGCGAGGGCUGUCGCUGACCCGAAAGAUCGUGCACGCCCGAGUGCCCUCACACACAUCCAUCUCACCCCUAUGUGCACCACCGCGUGGGUCCCCCUUUGGCUUGUUCGGAGGGGGGCUUACGUUUUCACACAAACUUUGUAUGUAGUGUAGAAUGUAUUUUUUGUUUUUGCGAUCACGCAAUCAAUACAACUUUCAACAACGGAUCUCUUGGCUCUC
rnacentral:misc_RNA from 1 species